rnacentral:rRNA from 1 species
UAGGGAAUCUUCGGCAAUGGACGGAAGUCUGACCGAGCAACGCCGCGUGAGUGAAGAAGGUUUUCGGAUCGUAAAGCUCUGUUGUAAGGGAAGAACGAGUGUGAGAGUGGAAAGUUCACACUGUGACGGUAUCUUACCAGAAAGGGACGGCUAACUACGUGCCAGCAGCCGCGGUAAUACGUAGGUCCCGAGCGUUGUCCGGAUUUAUUGGGCGUAAAGCGAGCGCAGGCGGUUAGAUAAGUCUGAAGUUAAAGGCUGUGGCUUAACCAUAGUACGCUUUGGAAACUGUUUAACUUGAGUGCAAGAGGGGAGAGUGGAAUUCCAUGUGUAGCGGUGAAAUGCGUAGAUAUAUGGAGGAACACCGGUGGCGAAAGCGGCUCUCUGGCUUGUAACUGACGCUGAGGCUCGAAAGCGUGGGGAGCAAACAGGAUUAGAUACCCUGGUAGUCCACGCCGUAAACGAUGAGUGCUAGGUGUUAGACCCUUUCCGGGGUUUAGUGCCGUAGCUAACGCAUUAAGCACUCCGCCUGGGGAGUACGACCGCAAGGUUG